UACGUAGUGUGCAAGCGUUGUCCGGAAUUAUUGGGCGUAAAGAGCUUGUAGGCGGUUUGUCGCGUCUGCUGUGAAAUUUCGGGGCUCAACCCCGAACUUGCAGUGGGUACGGGCAGACUAGAGUGUGGUAGGGGAGACUGGAAUUCCUGGUGUAGCGGUGAAAUGCGCAGAUAUCAGGAGGAAAACCGAUGGCGAAGGCAGGUCUCUGGGCCAUAACUGACGCUGAGAAGCGAAAGCAUGGGGAGCGAACAGG
rnacentral:rRNA from 1 species